UACGGAACGGUCGUCCCGUACGGUUGGGGGAUAGCCCGGCGAAAGCCGGAUUAAUACCGCAUAUGCUCUACGGAGGAAAGUGGGGGACUUGGCAACAGGCCUCACGCUAUGGGAGCGGCCGAUGUCCGAUUAGCUUGUUGGCGGGGUAAUGGCCCACCAAGGCUACGAUCCAUAGCUGGUCUGAGAGGAUGAUCAGCCACACUGGGACUGAGACACGGCCCAG
rnacentral:rRNA from 1 species